GUGGGCUGAGAAUUGAGUGGAUGGUCACAGAGAGCAGUGUUUUGUUGUUUCUAAUGAAAUUUACCCAUAUUUUAAAACCUAAUGGGAUGGAUCCAAAAGAUCCUUGAUGGCGAUUUAUUUAAUUUUCCACUUUAUUUUUAUGCUUGGGGUCCAUCCCAUGUAAGAACAGAAGCCACAGCCCCCAGAACCAACAAAACUAAAGUUAUUGACAAUUACUUUAAGGCCCAGUGCCAAAGCUUUGGGUCGAAAGGUUUCCAACUGCCAUAGGAAAGCAAAGAUAAGGAGAAAUCCUCUGUAGGAAGCUAGGGAAAGGAGCAGAGAGAAAGAAGCUAAGAGGAGGACGCUCUGCCUGGCUGCAAGUGAGAAACAAACCCAAGGUGCAUACUUAAAAGUCAUGCCAGUUCUCCGGACCUUUUUCGCAGUCUUCAAGCUCUGAGAGCAUGUUAAUGGUGACAUCAAUGUUUUCAAUGACUGGCCUCCUGAUAUGAACCUGAUAAUUCCUGCCCUCUGGAUGGAAGAGACCACGAGAGAGUAUCCCCAUAUGGUAACAAGGUCAUGCUCCUAAGGACAUAAAACAAGAUGAGAGGGAAACCUCAUCCACUUUUUGUUCAGGGAUCCACAGCAAAGUUUGUAACUAACCAGUUUGCCAGGCUGCUGAAAGCAGCAGGCUUUUAUAAGUCCUAAGCCUGCGUUCUAUCCUGUGGUAUGCUUCUCCUUGAUAGAAUUACAUAGAAAGACAAAUUCACAGCUCAAAGUACACCAGAUUCACUACAAUCUAAAACUUGUCACACAAAUCCCUGUUCCCAUUAAUUAAAACCUUGCAGAGGAGACAAACAAUGAUUUUCACUAUUCACUUAACUGGUUUGCACAGAGAGAGGGAGGCCAGAAGCCUGGCUAGUAAGUAAUCCUUACCCUUUUACAGGCAUGCCAGAGGUUUGGGUUAUCUUUCUCUGAAUGGCUCAGGUGACCCUGCUCUCUGUGCCAUACCUGUGGGGGCCAAGAUGCCUACAAAAGAAAAUCAUCUUUUCUGUUUUAUGGAACCAUAGGCGAAAGCCUCUCAAAUUUAAAUUUAUGAAGUUAAGUUUACUUAUCUCUAUAGUUGCAGGUUAACCAUUUGAACUCUGAACUUUUCCUGUUAUGCAGAGAACCAAUACUGGCAGUCGCACCCAGGCAUCCCUGGUGCCUUCCUGAAGACUAGAUGGGCGUCCCCAGCACUGUGUCUCAGGCAGUCUCCCCAAACCGACAGGACUAUACAUUUGUACAGACAGAAACUCUAAAAGAUUACAGGCCUAGGGAAGUGACAUAAUGAGGGGUUUCAAAUAGUUACAGGAUCAAAGUUCAGGGUGCCAGAGAGGGAGAGAGGAAAAGAGAGAGAGAGAAUUUUUUUCUUGGGAUUUGAGCCAACAACAACUUAGGCCAGGGAGGGAUGUGACCUGUCCCAAUGCCGGCUGAGUUAAUCAGACCUGGAUAGUCAACUGUUUUCAUCCUUCCUGCAUGGGUGGCUAUUCAGGUGACCCAGACCAGUAAACUAGGGAGGCUGUUUCAACCCGUCCCUCAUAGAUGUCUAUUCAAGCAACCCAAACCAGUAAGGAUUAGGAGAGGAGAGGCAAAGCGCCCUGAGUGACAG
rnacentral:lncRNA from 1 species